AGCCUGAUGCAGCCAUGCCGCGUGUGUGAAGAAGGCCUUCGGGUUGUAAAGCACUUUCAGUAGGGAGGAAGGUUCAUGCGUUAAUAGCGUAUGGAUUUGACGUUACCUACAGAAGAAGCACCGGCUAACUCCGUGCCAGCAGCCGCGGUAAUACGGAGGGUGCGAGCGUUAAUCGGAAUUACUGGGCGUAAAGCGCAUGCAGGUGGUUUGUUAAGUCAGAUGUGAAAGCCCGGGGCUCAACCUCGGAAUUGCAUUUGAAACUGGCAGACUAGAGUACUGUAGAGGGGGGUAGAAUUUCAGGUGUAGCGGUGAAAUGCGUAGAGAUCUGAAGGAAUACCGGUGGCGAAGGCGGCCCCCUGGACAGAUACUGACACUCAGAUGCGAAAGCGUGGGGAGCAAACAGGAUUAGAUACCCUGGUAGUCCACGCCGUAAACGAUGUCUACUUGGAGGUUGUGGCCUUGAGCCGUGGCUUUCGGAGCUAACGCGUUAAGUAGACCGCCUGGG
rnacentral:rRNA from 4 species